rnacentral:rRNA from 1 species
UACGUAGGCAGCGAGCGUUGUUCGGAGUUACUGGGCGUAAAGAGUGCGUAGGCGGUUUUCUAAGUUUGGUGUGAAAUCUCCCGGCUCAACUGGGAGGGUGCGCCGAAGACUGGAAGGCUUGAGUAUGGGAGAGGUAAGCGGAAUUCCUGGUGUAGCGGUGAAAUGCGUAGAUAUCGGGAGGAACACCAGUGGCGAAGGCGACUUCCUGGCCUGUUCUUGACGCUGAGGCGCGAAAGCUAGGGGAGCAAACGGG